GAAAAACCAAGAUCCCCAACGAGCUAUCACAUUCGGGGAUGGAAAUCAAGGUUUGGUCAAAGGACUUGGUAAAAUUGCUAUAUCUCCUGACCAUUCUAUUUCCAAUGUUUUUCUUGUUGAUUCUUUAGAUUACAACUUGCUUUCUGUUUCCCAAUUAUGUCAAAUGGGCUACAACUGUCUUUUUACUGAUGUAGGUGUCACUGUCUUUAGAAGAAGUGAUGAUUCAAUAGCAUUUAAGGGAGUGUUAGAGGGUCAGCUAUACUUGGUAGACUUUGAUAGAGCUGAACUCGACACUUGCUUAAUUGCUAAGACUAACAUGGGCUGGCUCUGGCAUCGCCGACUAGCACAUGUUGGGAUGAAGAAUCUUCACAAGCUUCUAAAGGGAGAACACAUUUUAGGAUUAACAAAUGUUCAUUUUGAGAAAGACAGGAUUUGUAGCGCAUGUCAAGCCGGGAAGCAAGUUGGAACCCAACAUCCACACAAAAACAUCAUGACGACCGACAGGCCGCUUGAGCUACUCCACAUGGAUCUAUUCGGCCCGAUUGCUUACAUAAGCAUCGGCGGGAGUAAGUAUUGUCUUGUUAUUGUGGAUGAUUAUUCUCGCUUCACUUGGGUAUUCUUUUUGCAGGAAAAAUCUCAAACCCAAGAGACCCUAAAGGGAUUCUUGAGACGGGCUCAAAAUGAGUUCGGCUUAAGGAUCAAGAAAAUAAGAAGCGACAACGGAACGGAGUUCAAGAAUUCUCAAAUUGAAGGCUUCCUUGAGGAGGAGGGCAUCAAGCAUGAGUUCUCUUCUCCCUACACGCCUCAACAAAAUGGUGUGGUGGAGAGGAAGAAUAGAACUCUAUUAGACAUGGCAAGGACCAUGCUUGAUGAGUACAAGACUUCGGAUCGGUUUUGGGCCGAAGCAGUCAACACCGCUUGCUACGCCAUCAACCGGUUAUAUCUACACCGAAUCCUCAAGAAGACAUCAUAUGAACUCCUAACUGGUAAAAAGCCCAACAUUUCAUAUUUUAGAGUCUUUGGUAGCAAAUGCUUUAUUCUUGUUAAGAGAGGUAGAAAAUCUAAAUUUGCUCCCAAGACUGUAGAAGGCUUUUUACUUGGUUAUGACUCAAACACAAAGGCAUAUAGGGUCUUUAACAAGUCCACUGGACUAGUUGAAGUCUCAUGUGACGUUGUGUUUGAUGAGACUAACGGCUCUCAAGUAGAGCAAGUUGAUCUUGAUGAGAUAGGUGAAGAAGAGGCUCCAUGCAUCGCGCUAAGGAACAUGUCCAUUGGGGAUGUGUGUCCUAAGGAAUCCGAAGAGCCUCCAAAUGCACAAGAUCAACCAUCCUCCUCCAUGCAAGCAUCUCCACCGACUCAAAAUGAGGAUGAAGCUCAAGAUAAUGAAGUAGAAGAUCAAGCAAAUGAGCCACCUCAAGAUGAUGGCAUUGAUCAAGGGGGAGAUGCAAAUGAUGAAGACAAGGAGGAUGAGGAACCAAGACCGCCACACCCAAGAGUCCACCAAGCAAUCCAACGAGAUCACCCCGUCGACACCAUCCUCGGCGACAUUCAUAAGGGGGUAACUACUCGAUCUCGUGUUGCACAUUUUUGUGAACAUUACUCGUUUGUUUCCUCUAUUGAGCCACACAGGGUAGAGGAAGCACUUCAAGAUUCGGAUUGGGUGGUGGCGAUGCAAGAGGAGCUCAACAACUUCACGAGAAAUGAGGUAUGGCAUUUAGUUCCACGUCCUAACCAAAAUGUUGUAGGAACCAAAUGGGUCUUCCGCAACAAGCAAGAUGAGCAUGGUGUGGUGACAAGGAACAAAGCUCGACUCGUGGCCAAAGGGUAUUCACAAGUCGAAGGUUUGGAUUUCGGUGAAACCUAUGCACCCGUAGCUAGGCUUGAGUCAAUUCGCAUAUUAUUGGCCUAUGCUACUUACCAUGGCUUUAAGCUCUAUCAAAUGGACGUGAAAAGUGCCUUCCUCAACGGACCAAUCAAGGAAGAGGUCUAUGUUGAGCAACCUCCCGGCUUUGAAGACAGUGAGUACCCUAACCAUGUCUAUAGGCUCUCUAAGGCGCUUUAUGGGCUCAAGCAAGCCCCAAGAGCAUGGUAUGAAUGCUUAAGAGAUUUCCUUAUUUCUAAUGGCUUCAAAGUCGGCAAGGCCGAUCCUACACUCUUUACUAAAACUCUUGAAAAUGACUUGUUUGUAUGUCAAAUUUAUGUUGAUGAUAUUAUAUUUGGGUCUACUAACGAGUCUACAUGUGAAGAGUUUAGUAGGAUCAUGACACAGAAAUUCGAGAUGUCGAUGAUGGGGGAGUUGAAGUAUUUUCUAGGAUUCCAAGUCAAGCAACUCCAAGAGGGCACCUUCAUUUGCCAAACGAAGUACACUCAAGACAUUCUAACCAAGUUUGGAAUGAAGGAUGCCAAGCCCAUCAAGACACCUAUGGGAACCAAUGGGCAUCUCGACCUCGACACGGGAGGUAAAUCCGUCGAUCAAAAGGUAUACCGGUCGAUGAUUGGUUCAUUGCUUUAUUUAUGUGCAUCUCGACCGGAUAUUAUGCUUUCCGUUUGCAUGUGUGCAAGAUUUCAAUCCGACCCUAAGGAAUCCCACCUUACGGCCGUAAAACGAAUCUUGAGAUAUUUAGCUUAUACUCCUAAGUUUGGGCUUUGGUACCCUCGGGGAUCCACUUUUGAUUUGAUUGGUUAUUCGGAUGCCGAUUGGGCAGGGUGUAAGAUUAAUAGGAAGAGCACAUCGGGGACUUGCCAGUUCUUGGGAAGAUCCUUGGUGUCUUGGGCUUCAAAGAAGCAAAAUUCGGUCGCUCUUUCCACCGCCGAAGCCGAGUACAUUGCCGCAGGCCAUUGUUGCGCGCAAUUGCUUUGGAUGAGGCAAACCCUGCGGGACUACGGUUACAAAUUAACCAAAGUUCCUUUACUAUGUGAUAAUGAGAGUGCAAUCAAAAUGGCCGACAACCCCGUCGAGCAUAGCCGCACUAAGCACAUAGCCAUUCGGUAUCAUUUUCUUAGGGAUCACCAACAAAAGGGAGAUAUCGAGAUUUCUUACAUUAACACUAAAGAUCAAUUAGCCGAUAUCUUUACCAAGCCUCUUGAUGAACAAUCUUUUACCAGACUUAGGCAUGAGCUCAAUAUUCUUGAUUCUAGAAAUUUCUUUUGCUAAGCUUGCACACAUAGCUCAUAAAUAUACCUUUGAUCAUGUCUCUUUCAUAUGCUAUGACUAAUGCGUUUUUCAAGUCUAUUUCAAACCAAGUCAUAGGUGUAUUGAAAAGGAAUUGGAGUCUUCGGCGAAGACAAAGGCUUCCACUCCGUAACUCAUCCUUCGCCAUCACUCCAAGAAAAGGACCUUGUCUUUGGGGGAGAGAGUAAAAGCCCAAAGCAAAAGGACCGGACUUCGUCUUUGUUGAGUGCUGCUGCUCCUAAUCUUUCAUUGAAGGGAACACCAUACUGGAUGGCUCCUGAGGUUGUUCGGGCUACACUUGAUAAACGUGCAGGUUAUGAUCUUGCUGUUGAUAUUUGGAGCCUUGGUUGCACAAUCAUUGAGAUGUUUACAGGAAAGCCACCUUGGAGUGGUCUUGAAGGGCCUGCUGCAAUGUUUAAGGUUUUGCACACGGACCCACCAAUUCCAGAUAAUAUGUCCCCUGAAGGGAAGGAUUUUCUGAGAUGCUGCUUAAAGAGAAACCCUACUGAGCGACCAACAGCAACCAAGUUGCUCGAACACCCAUUUAUACGAACUUCGAAUCACUACAGCCCGCGUAAUUCAAUUUUGGGAAUUAAAUCUCCAGAUACUGUGCGCAGCGCUGCAAGAGAUAAAGUACCCUGGAAAAAUGAUUCAUGUAAGAGAGGGAAACAUGCAAAUGGUGAAACAAGCAGUGCUCGGUCGUCAGGGUCAUUGACUUAUCGAUUGAUGACACCUCUACCCAACUUGGGAACCAAUAGCUUGUCACCUCCACCUUUGAGUUCGGCUUCCAAUUCUGGCUCUGCAGCACAUACACCGAAAAUUAUGCAUUUUUCAGUCGCAUACCAUCGGCCUAGUCCUUUGCCAAAGCCUAACGGGAAGGAAGCAAUAAAUUUGAUUUCACAUUGAAUAACAACAUGGCAGCUAUCACAACAUCUGGGCCAAAAGCCACAUAACCCUUGCGCUGUUACUCAUAGCUGACAAUUUUUGGGUCUCGUAAAAAAUAUUUUCCAUGUAAAAAGAUUACCACUAUAUGAUCAUAGGGAAAUGCUGCUAAAUGGAGGAGCCCUGUGAGGUCUGUUGUACUGUUUGAUUUCUGAGGAAAUGAUUGUAUUUUCCAUGUAACAUGUUUAUUAGGGUGUAGCUGUAGGUAAAACUAAUGGUCCUGAUUCUGCCGACAGAUAGGACAUUAGGGUUAUAGUUGUAGCGUGUUGUUGUUGUUGUUGUUGAUGUUGUGUAAUGAGCAUACUUAUGUAAUCGUUAUUGAUUUUUUUGGGGCCGUGUAAUAAUACACGUCAAUUGUCAAACGGGGAUUGAGAUUAAAGAUCUAUGUUACUUUCAUGA